rnacentral:rRNA from 1 species
UUAGUGGCGGACGGGUGAGUAACGCGUGGAUAACCUGCCGUAUACUGGGGGAUAACACUUAGAAAUAGGUGCUAAUACCGCAUAAGCGCACAGUCCCGCAUGAGACGGUGUGAAAAACUCCGGUGGUAUACGAUGGAUCCGCGUCUGAUUAGCUUGUUGGCGGGGUAACAGCCCACCAAGGCGACGAUCAGUAGCCGGCCUGAGAGGGUGAACGGCCACAUUGGGACUGAGACACGGCCCAAACUCCUACGGAAGGCAGCAG